AGCCUUCUGUAUCCGUGCUGAGGUUUCUUCAGAAAUCAAGCCGUUGAGUCUGAUGGUACUUCCCAAAUAAGUGAAGCG
rnacentral:pre_miRNA from 1 species